GCAGUCUUCCUCCCGGCCAGCAGGGGGCGACAGAGCAGCUCCGAGACAAACAGUGAUUAAGUCUGUGUUUACAUGUAGCCGAGCUAGCUUUAGCUUCUGCUGAGCGGUACGUUUAACUAAAUUCACCUGUAAUUACAUCAAAUAUACGUAUUUACUCUGAUAUGAGCUCUUCCUUUAAUCUCUGCCAAACAACAGAGGGACAUAAAACACUAAAGCCCGGCUCUGUUUGUUGGUCGAAGCCUCUUUAUCCCGUUAACGUUAGCCAAACCACGGACGCUGCGAUAUUUCUUUUAGAAAUCGGCGAAUUUAAAGUUUGUCUGCUUAUCAACUAAGUACAGUCCCUUAUAAUAAUUAAGUUAAGACAUGUUACUAAUUAAUAGUAUUCGGGUGUAUAUUCGGCUUACAUACUAAGCACCAGUCACUUCUUAUUUAUUAUAAUUUUGUGUUUACGUAAGAAUUAAUAAUUUUUUAGGAUUUUGGCAGUGGAUCAAUGACGAUAGCUGCCUUUACAUUUCAUUUUUCAACGUAGUUCUUUGUAAACGAAAUGAAAUCUUAAUUAAGCUAUUGAGUACUCUUCUAUCAGUGCAGGUCAGUGUUGGUGCAGAGAAGUUAAAGGUUACUGGUCUUCAACAUGGUCAAACAGCAGCGGAGAACAGACAGGUGUUUUGUACCUGCUGCAGGGAACAGUGUGACGUGGGUUCGUUUUCCUGUUGGCCCCGUACACAGGAGACACCUUCAGCAGGUAGACAGAAACAAUCCCCACAGCUCCAUCACCACAGAAGAAGAGAGAGGAGACCCAGGACCUGACGAAGGUUCAGGAGAGACAAAGAGGGCGAGACUGGACCGAACUGAAGAGGCUGCAGCUCUGACCAAUAGAGAGAAAGUCCCAGGGUCAUGCGGUCAACCAGGAAGUGAGAGCUGCUCCACAGCAGAUGGCGUUUCGUCCAGACUGGCUCCUCCAGACCAGCCGGCGUCAGCAGAGCCCAGUGAGGACAGCAGAGCAGCUGAGCUGCAGAGUGUGAGUUCACUAAAGGUCACCAUCCAGCAGAGCAGUGAGAGCAGAGAGUUUGGACAGACAGACAGGACAGCUGACAGACAGACAGGUGGACUCCACUGUCACGUCUGUGACCUCACCUGUCGCUCUGUGCAGGUGUUUCAGGAGCACAUGGCAGGAUCAGAACACCUGAGGAAACUGAAGGAGAUGACACACUCUAUCUGCCUCAACACACACACACUGCAGAACAGGGGGUGUUUGCCUGAACCGCAGCGCUGGUGUGACACCUGUCAGACUCACUUCAGCGGUGAUAUCAUCGUCCAUCGACGGACAAAACAACACAAGAUGUGUAAGCAGAUGUGUCGUCCCUUCUGUCCGGUGUGUAAACGUCACUUCAGGACUCCCAGGAAGUUUGUGGAGCACAUGAAGUCUGCAGAGCACAAGGAGCAGGUGCACCUGGAGGAGGCUCAGGAGGAAGAGCUGAUCACAGUGGACGCUGUCGGCUGCUUUGAGGGAGAGGAGGAUGAUGAAGAAAAGGAGGUAGAAGAAGUAGAAGUAGCUGAAGAAGAAGAAGAAGAGAGUGUAGGAAAGGAAGAAGCAGAGAAGGAAGUGUCGGCGGUACAACCAAACGUUCAGGCAGCUGUCACACAGAAAACAGACAAGGAGGAAUAUGACCCCCACACCACAUAUGGAAGUAGUUUUGUGCUUCCUGUUUCUGGCUUCCUGUGUCAACUGUGUAAUAAGUUCUUCUACAGAGAGACAACAGCACGACACACACACUGCAGGACACACACGCACUACCUCAACCUGCAGAGCCACAGAGCUAAGAGAACACAUGAAGAUCAGGACAGAUCUGCUCUCACCUGACCUACUCUUGCUGUAUCCCACAAUGCAUCUCUGUAUCCAGGUGAUACUGCUGUAAAGACACAGAACAGGCAUGUUCUUCCAAAAUAAUGAAAACAUUAAACGGGCACUCUCCGUACACGUGGCAUGCCUCACCCUGUCGCGUCCAGAGGGGGCGCUGUCCCCGCUGAACGCAGAGGAUUGUGGGAUCGCAGGAGGCAGUAGCGGAGCAUCAUCAUCAUCA